CAGGCUCACACAAUGCUUUCAAUCAAAGCCAGGCUGGGAAACCCAACCCCACAGACACCUUCAAUUUCAUGUUUUCUUAGGUUCUUUCAGAGAGAGAGUGAUUGACACACAAGCUGAACCCUAGAAGAGGGAGAAAACAGAACCGUGGUCUUUGACUUCAAUGCAAAAAGAUUAGAAAUAAACUGAAGAUGUCACACUGUUCCAUGCAGCGGAGAGCAAGAAGAGAUCCUCACACCCAUGAUGCAAAUCACUUACAGAUGGAGAAACUGAGGCACAGAGCAGGGAAGUGAUUUGCUCGAGAUCACUCAGAGCUGGGAAUUGGAUGCAGUUCUCCUGAGGCCCAGUCUUGGGCUCUAGCCACUAGACAACUAAUGGACACCAAAAACAUUCUCAGCAAGCUGCCCAGGAUAGGACUCAAACUUGCAGUUCAUGGGACCUGUUUGGAUUCAAGGGCCACAGCAGAUGACUUUGAGAAGCGGAGGAUGGCUGAGUUUGAAGGUGUCCAGUUGAUCUACACGUGGUUAGUAUCCUUCCAGUUCUGGCAUUGAUGAUAUGUUGGAAAAGUGCCAUG